UCCAUGGCUAUUUUUAAUAGUUCCCUCACACCAUUCCGCAUGGAGAGAUUCACCUGAAACUCUACACUGAAGAUGUGACUCAUUGAAUUUUUCGAGGAAGUUCCCCUUAGGAAAAAUCAACGGGAAUUUUCGUCUACAGAAGUCUCCUUGAAAAUCCAAACAGAAAACAUUUCAGACAUUUUAGACGACUUGAAGGGGAUGCAAAAAAAUUAUCAAAACACAUUGAAGAAAUUGCCAGAAAUUGCGACAAUUUAAAUUUUCUUGUACUGGUUGUUGUACACUCCAUCCCCCUAAAGACCCCUAAAAAAGAGAAAAUUCAAUCCACCCGCACCCUAAAAAACUUCCAAAAUGGACUUUGGAGCGACGACUAAAAACAUCUCGAAUGCAAAAGAUUCUAUCUUCAGGAAGUCAAGCCGACGGCUUUGGACGCAACAUCCUACCACGCAUUUCGGGCUGAGAGAUUGGGCAUGGAGAUAGGAGACUUCUCCUGAAUGCGUUUUCAACCCCCGCAGAGGCAUUUAAAAAUAAAUCUCCCUCUCAGUGAAUGAACUUCUCCCCCCAAAAAUUGUCCUCAUGGGGGCAAUCAGUGCAUAUGUAUGAAAAUUCUGCAGAAAGUUUCAGGUCGAUUGCAAUUAAAUCUCGCAUAUAUGGGGGUGAUUAUGUACAU